rnacentral:rRNA from 2 species
AGAGUUUGAUCAUGGCUCAGGACGAACGCUGGCGGCGUGCCUAAUACAUGCAAGUCGAGCGGACAGAUGGGAGCUUGCUCCCUGAUGUUAGCGGCGGACGGGUGAGUAACACGUGGGUAACCUGCCUGUAAGACUGGGAUAACUCCGGGAAACCGGGGCUAAUACCGGAUGGUUGUUUGAACCGCAUGGUUCAAACAUAAAAGGUGGCUUCGGCUACCACUUACAGAUGGACCCGCGGCGCAUUAGCUAGUUGGUGAGGUAACGGCUCACCAAGGCAACGAUGCGUAGCCGACCUGAGAGGGUGAUCGGCCACACUGGGACUGAGACACGGCCCAGACUCCUACGGGAGGCAGCAGUAGGGAAUCUUCCGCAAUGGACGAAAGUCUGACGGAGCAACGCCGCGUGAGUGAUGAAGGUUUUCGGAUCGUAAAGCUCUGUUGUUAGGGAAGAACAAGUACCGUUCGAAUAGGGCGGUACCUUGACGGUACCUAACCAGAAAGCCACGGCUAACUACGUGCCAGCA